GAUGAACGCUGGCGGCGUGCCUAAUACAUGCAAGUCGAGCGAAUGGAUUAAGAGCUUGCUCUUAUGAAGUUAGCGGCGGACGGGUGAGUAACACGUGGGUAACCUGCCCAUAAGACUGGGAUAACUCCAGGAAAACGGGGCUAAUACCGGAUAACAUUUUGAAGAGCAUGGUUCGAAAUCGAAAGGCGGCUUCGGCUGUAACUUAUGGAUGGACCCGCGUGUCAUUAGCUAGUUGGUGAGGUAACGGCUCACCAAGGCAACGAGGCGUAGCCGACCUGAGAGGGUGAUCGGCCACACUGGGACUGAGACACGGCCCAGACUCCUACGGGAGGCAGCAGUAGGGAAUCUUCCGCAAUGGACGAAAGUCUGACGGAGCAACGCCGCGUGAGUGAUGAAGGCUUUCGGGUCGUAAAACUCUGUUGUUAGGGAAGAACAAGUGCUAGUUGAAUAAGCUGGCACCUUGACGGUACCUAACCAGAAAGCCACGGCUAACUACGUGCCAGCCGCCGCGGUAA
rnacentral:rRNA from 1 species